rnacentral:rRNA from 1 species
GCUUGUCUCAAAGAUUAAGCCAUGCAUGUCUAAGUAUAAAUACCUUAUACUGUGAAACUGCGUAUGGCUCAUUAAAUCAGUUAUAGUUUAUUUGAUGAUACCUCACUACAUGGAUAACCGUAGUAAUUCUAGAGCUAAUACAUGCACAAAGUCCCGACUCUUAGGAAGGGAUGUAUUUAUUAGAUAAAAAACCAACCCCUCACGGGUUCCUUGGUGAUUCAUAAUAAUUUUCGGAUCGAUCGUAGGAUCGAUGCAUCAUUCAAGUUUCUGCCCUAUCAGCUUUGGAUGGUAGGGUAUUGGCCUACCAUGGCAUUAACGGGUAACGGAGAAUUAGGGUUCGAUUCCGGAGAGGGAGCCUGAGAAAUGGCUACCACAUCCAAGGAAGGCAGCAGG